UACGUAGGGUGCGAGCGUUAAUCGGAAUUACUGGGCGUAAAGCGUGCGCAGGCGGUUCGUUAAGUUCGUCGUGAAAGCCCCGGGCUCAACCUGGGAAUGGCGAUGGAAACUGGCGGGCUGGAGUCUGGCAGAGGGGGGUGGAAUUCCGCGUGUAGCAGUGAAAUGCGUAGAGAUCCGGAGGAACCCCAGAGGCGAAGGCGACGCCCUGGCUCGUACCUGACGCUCAGCCACGAAAGCAUGGGGAGCGAACGGG
rnacentral:rRNA from 1 species